CUCAAGUUUCCACAAUUUUGUCCACACAUGAAUUUGAGCACAGCCAAUCAUACAAACUCUCCUGUGGGACAAGUCGACAUGUACUGUUAUGAAUCCGGCAUACUUGCAAGAAUAUUACUGACAGUCACUGGAUGUCACUGGAUGUUUCAAUGUUAAUUAACAAAGAUUUAUUACAAUAGAAUGUGAAUAUUUAAAGUAAACAUAGAUAGAAAUGUUCAUUUGGAUGUUCAAGUUUCCAUCGCUUCUCCUCCAGUAGAGGUGACUGCAGUCUGGAUAAUGUCCCAUUUUAUUGGAUUCACUUCUUUCUUGAGGAUCGCUUGAAUGAAGAGAGAAUAAAUUAUAAGGUGUGGCAUGAUGGCUAUUGCGUGUGUCUUUUAUUUCCCUCCUGUAGUAACACUGGACCUCUAGGAAGAACAGUUUAGAAC